rnacentral:rRNA from 1 species
UACGAAGGGGGCUAGCGUUGUUCGGAAUUACUGGGCGUAAAGCGCACGUAGGCGGAUCCUUAAGUCGGAGGUGAAAUCCCGGAGCCCAACUCCGGAACUGCCUUCGAUACUGGGGAUCUUGAGGUCGAGAGAGGUGAGUGGAAUUCCGAGUGUAGAGGUGAAAUUCGUAGAUAUUCGGAGGAACACCAGUGGCGAAGGCGGCUCACUGGCACGAUACUGACGCUGAGGUGCGAUAGCGUGGGGAGCAAACAGU